ACGGUACAACGAGUCGCAAGCUCGCGAGAGUAAGCUAAUCUCUUAAAGCCGUUCUCAGUUCGGACUGUAGGCUGCAACUCGCCUACACGAAGUCGGAAUCGCUAGUAAUCGCGGAUCAGCAUGCCGCGGUGAAUACGUUCUCGGGCCUUGUACACACCGCCCGUCACACCAUGGAAGUUGGGGGCGCCCGAAGUUGGUCGAGGAAUAGAUUACCUAAGGCGAAACCAAUGACUGGGGUGAAGUCGUAACAAGGUAUC
rnacentral:rRNA from 1 species